CGUAGGAACUACGAGAUUACCCCAAGGACGCCUUCGGCUGGGAGCAGCCUAAACCGUGAAAACGGGGUUGUGG
rnacentral:tRNA from 4 species